rnacentral:rRNA from 1 species
AUACGAAAGGUGCAAGCGUUGUUCGGAUUUACUGGGCGUAAAGAGAUCGUAGGUGGUUUGUUAAGUUGGAUGUGAAAUCCCGGGGCUCAACCUCGGAACUGCAUCCAAAACUGGCAGACUUGAGUUCGGGAGGGGUAAGCGGAAUUCCGUGUGUAGCAGUGAAAUGCGUAGAUAUACGGAGGAACACCUGAGGCGAAGGCGGCUUACUGGACCGAUACUGACACUGAGGAUCGAAAGCGUGGGUAGCAAACAGGAUUAGAAACCCCGGUAGUCC